AUGCUCAUAGAGCUGGCCCUGCUGGAGUCCAAUGCGGUGCUCGCCUGGUUCGAUCGCGACUGCCAGGCGUCCACAUCCGAGGUGGCGGCGGCCCUUGCUGCCAAGAUUGGCGCGCUGAAGGACGAUGUCGUCGUGGUCCACCACUACCCCGAGCGCUUCCUGGUCCGUUUCGUUCAUCGCCAUCAUGCUGAGCUCGCCGCUGGCCGCCACGACAUCCCUUUCGGCAACACCAAGCUUCAACUUCGGGCGUGGCGCAUGGAGAAGCACGCAGAGCACGUCGACAUGGGCCACCAUGUUCGGCUCUGCCUUGAGGGGCUCCCGCUCUACGCCUGGGAUGAGAAGGCUGUCGCCAACGCCAUCGGCUCCGGCUGUUCGCUCGACUACAUCGAGCCCGCGUCCAAGUUGAAGACCGCGACCAAGGUGCUGGCCCUCUGGGCAUGGACGCCCUGUCCUAGUAAGGUGCCGAGGCUGAGAUGGAUCACCCUGCCGGCGCGUACUGACGGUGCGCCGGUGUACGGCCGCAAGGGGCUUGAGCACCGGGUGCUGGUUCAUCUGGACAUCCAUGAAGACCCAACCUCUGGCAAAAUUGUCUCCAGGCCAAACGUUUGGCGCUACAAUGUGGUUGACGGCGAGUCCAGGGCGAGGGACAGGCGCGAGAGGAUCUCCAGGCCCGUGCGCCACGAGCGGCGCGACCGUGAUGACGAGGAGGACCGCGACCGCGGCCGCGGUCGCGACGGGCGGGACGCGUCCAGGGGCAACCAAGGCUGGGGCGCCCGCAUUCGCCGGAGCCUCUCUCGCGCGCCUCGCGACGGCCACCGCGAUGGUCGUCGUGGCACUCGUGAUGGUCGACGGCGCACCUCCUCUCCUCUGCCGGUUGCCGUCCCUUCAUCGUCGCCACCGCUGUUGGGCUCCGGCUCCAUGAGCGUGCCUGCGGUGCAAGCAAUUGAGCUCCUGCCCAUCCCGCAUGCUCAGUUGCCAUCGGGGGCUCUCCCUGCUGCGGAUGCUGGGCUCCGUGGCCGCAGCCCAGUAAGGAGGGCGCGCCCGGAGUCUGCUAGGCGCCAGUCCAGGGAAGCUCUGACUCCUCCAGCCUCGCCACCCCAUUCGCCAACCACGGUGCUUCGAGCCCCCAGGAGCUCCAAGCGUGAUGCGGCGCGUGUUGCCGCUACGCUCGGCCAGGAGAGAAGCCCAGCGCUCAUUGAGCUCUGCUCCCCGACGACCAUGUUGCGCCCCCUCAUCUCCACCUCUCCGGUGCGCCCACCUGGCUUCGAGGCCUCCCCAACGCCGCCACUCCUCAACAGAGGCGCUCUGCAUUGCACGCCCACCUCCCCUCGGGCUCGGCUGCAUGCGGCUGAUGACGCUUUGCCAGCAGGGCUUGCGGCGCUGGUUGUGCCCCGACCCUCAUUGGACCUCCCUGACCAGCUCUUCUGUGUGCGCCAGCCUGCGGUGCUGCCUACCCCGGUGCCCCAGCCACCGCUGUCGUCCCCUACAAAGAGACAGGCAGCGCGAAGGAAGACCUUGGCGGGCGUAAAGAUCUCAACUGCCGGAGGCCUCUCUCUGCAGCGUGUGCGCCGGGCUCCAAUGCGUGCUCCUGAUGUGCCAGCGGCCAAGAAGGCUGAGAGCCUCAUUUUCCGCAGCCUGGGCAUUACUAGAGAUGGGCAGGAUGUCACUGAAGACACUCUGAAGGCAUUCACGGACAAGUUCAAGCAGCACCUUCCUGAUGAAGUGAUUAUAGCCAUGAGAGAUUUUUUUGAGCUCGACAACCCUACAGUCAAUGUAGUUGAGGACGCGCUGAUUGGCCAUGGGGGAGAGGGGGUGCUUGACCAAGUUGCUGGUGCGACUGGACUGCAAGAUGGAGGAGGGCAAGACGUUAUGGCGUGA
rnacentral:rRNA from 1 species